rnacentral:rRNA from 1 species
UACGUAGGUGGCAAGCGUUGUUCGGAAUAACUGGGCGUAAAGGAUGCGUAGGCGGUUAAACAAGUUAUAUGUUAAAUAUAUAGGCUUAACCUGUAGAAUGCAUAUAAAACUGUUUAACUAGAGUGCAGGAGAGGUAAGUGGAAUUCCUAGUGUAGCGGUGAAAUGCGUAGAGAUUAGGAAGAACACCAGUGGCGAAGGCGACUUACUGGACUGUAACUGACGCUGAGGCAUGAGAGCAUGGGGAGCAAACAGG